CCUACGGGAGGCAGCAGUGAGGAAUAUUGCUCAAUGGACGGAAGUCUGAUCCAGCCAAGUAGCGUGAAGGAUGACUGCCCUACGGGUUGUAAACCUCUUUUAUAAAGGAAUAAAGUGAGGCACGUGUGCCUUUUUGUAUGUACUUUAUGAAUAAGGAUCGGCUAACUCCGUGCCAGCAGCCGCGGUAAUACGGAGGAUCCGAGCGUUAUCCGGAUUUAUUGGGUUUAAAGGGAGCGUAGAUGGGUUGUUAAGUCAGUGGUGAAAGUUUGCGGCUCAACCGUAAAAUUGCAAUUGAUACUGGCAGUCUAGAGUACAGUUGAGGUAGGCGGAAUGCGUGGUGUAGCGGUGAAAUGCGUAGAUAUCACGAAGAACACCGAUUGCGAAGGCAGCUUACUAGACUUUCACUGACACUGAGGCUCGAAAGUGUGGGUAGCAAACAGGAUUAGAUACCCCAGUAGUC
rnacentral:rRNA from 1 species